rnacentral:rRNA from 1 species
AACGAACGCUGGCGGCAUGCCUAACACAUGCAAGUCGAACGAGACCUUCGGGUCUAGUGGCGCACGGGUGCGUAACGCGUGGGAACCUGCCCUUAGGUUCGGAAUAACUCCCCGAAAGGGGUGCUAAUACCGGACAAUGUCCUCGGACCAAAGAUUUAUCGCCUUUGGAUGGGCCCGCGUUGUAUUAGCUAGUUGGUAGGGUAAAAGCCUACCAAGGCGACGAUCCAUAGCUGGUCUGAGAGGAUGAUCAGCCACACUGGGACUGAGACACGGCCCAGACUCCUACGGGAGGCAGCAGUGGGGAAUAUUGGACAAUGGGCGAAAGCCUGAUCCAGCAAUGCCGCGUGAGUGAUGAAGGCCUUAGGGUUGUAAAGCUCUUUUACCCGGGAUGAUAAUGACAGUACCGGGAGAAUAAGCUCCGGCUAACUCCGUG